rnacentral:lncRNA from 1 species
CCCGAACAGGGACUAGGCUAGUUCAGUAGCUUAAUAGUUUUUUGGUAUUGUCACUUUUCCAAUUUUACUGUACGUAAUCACCUCUAAAGUAAACAAUGGCUGAGAAUAUGAUUAGUGUUCCUGUUGAGCAGUGGGAUGCUACAAUGAAUCUGAUUUCUAACUUACCAGAUCAAGUAAUUAGUCUUCAAGAACAAGUUACCAGAUUAAGUUCUUCGGGGAUCUCACCAGCCACCCGAAUUCGUCAGUCAUCCACACAGGAACAAUGUAAUCCUGAAGUUCCUGUCUUCCCACCUAGGCCGGAAGUGUCAUCACUCUCUCGACCAAUUGUU